UCGCAGAUAGUGUAGGGGUUAACAUAGCCCGCUUUCAAUGUCUCAACAGACUUUGUGAAGCGCCGGGCAGCCCCGGGUUCGAUUCCCGGUACCGGAA